rnacentral:tRNA from 1 species
GGCCAAGAACCAGUAUGGCAUAGUGGUUUGAGUGUUGGACUUUGACUCUGGAGACCAGGGUUCAAUUCCCAGCUUGGCCA